CUCCAACCAUUUUCUAGGUUUGUCAUCUUGCUUCUUCCAGCAGAGAGGGAAGCAAGGGGAGAAACUGAUUUUUCAAAGCCUCUAGGAAACUUGAUUCCUAGAGCUCAUGGACUCCGUGCCCUGAGCUUUAGGUUCUGAUUGUCAGAAGAACCAAGGCUCCAGACCCUCUGCUUGGCUGGUCUUUUUCAGAAGAAGGAUUGCUUGCUUACCUGGCCCAGGAGCACCUUGUGCCUGCCCCCAGGGUCCUUGCUGACUGAAGGAAGCCUGUCCUGUGCCUUAGACAAGCCUUCAUGUCAGACACACACAUGAGGAAGGGGAGUAUGAGAGCCUGCAGCUAGCAGCCUUCUCCAUAUGGGAGGUGAUCAGUGCAACUCUGCUUGAUGAAACUUGUGGCUGAUUAGGAUGCACGAAGAAGGGCGUUGCUGCACAAUUCCAAAGUCCAAGGCUGGUAAAGUAUGAAACAGCGAGGUGUUGCUGACUUUGUAGAGUUCACUGAGGGAGGGAGAGCCACUUCUGAAAGCCCUGAUACUGGGGGCCAUGCCCUGGCUGUUCUUCUUUCUGGGUUCUCUCCUGAAGGUAAACCGACUGGGAAGAAGAGAUAUUUAAGGUGUGGUGUUCAAUAAACCAUAUUUGAC
ensembl:lincRNA Gm12589 uncharacterized LOC110331120